rnacentral:lncRNA from 1 species
GUCCCUAAAGUCCAUUGUAUCAUUUUUAUGCCUUUGCAUCCUCAUAGCUUAGCUCCCACAUAUCAAGGAGAACAUAUGAUGUUUGGUUUUCCAUUCCUGAGUUACUUCACUUAGAAUAAUAGUCUGUAAUCUUUUCUAAGUCAUUGCAAAUGCUGUUAAUUCAUUCCUUCUUAUGGCUGAAUAGUAUUCUAUCACAUAUAUAUGUAUAUGUGUGUGUGUAUAUAAUUAGUGAAUGUGUGGAAAAUCUCAGAGCACAGAACACUCAUACACAGACACACACACACACACUUGGAUUUCUCUGAACAUUUACAUUUACAAUAACAGUAUUUUCCCAAUUACAGUAAGUGUGGCAGAGACAACUAAUUGCCCCCAGGAUCCAUUUGUCUCUUCAUCUCUUUAGUUAGAGAAAACCUACCUUCAAAUUCUGAAUACAUAAUUCUUCAAAGAAAAUAUACAAAUGGCUAUUAAACAUUGAGUAGAUGCUCAAUGUCAGUAGCUAUUAGAAAAAUGCAAUUUGAAACCAAAAUUAGAUACCACUUCAUACUCACUAAGAUUACUAUAAUCAAAAGAACAAGUAAAAAAAAUUGUUAACAAGGAUAUGGAGAAAUUAGUACACUCAUACAUUGAUGGGGGGAAUAUAAAAUGGUAAAGCUACUUCAAGAAACUGGCAUUUUUUCAAAAUGUUAAACAUAAAGU